AGCGUCAUUUCAACCCUCAAGCUCAGCUUGGUAUUGGGCCUCCGCCGGGCGACCGGCGGGCCUUAAAGUCAGUGGCGGCGCGUUGGGUCCUGAACGUAGUAACAUACAUCUCGUUACAGGGUCCCCGCGUGCUUCUGCCAUUAAACCCCCAACUUUCUAUGGUUGACCUCGGAUCAGGUAGGGAUACCCGCUGAACUUAA
rnacentral:misc_RNA from 1 species